CUGCCAUAGACAUUCACCAGAGCACCGAGGACAAACUCAAAAGGUAGUCUAUUUUCCUGUCCCAACCCUUUUUCCUUACUUUAAAAAAGUCUGUCUUGAAUCCACAGGCUAUAGGGCCCCUGGCAGCUGUAGUAGAAGCGAAGGAACCAGCUUCUGUGGAGACACUCUCCUCCCUGCCAACCCUUUCUGGACCUUCAAUGGAAAGUUUUAUGAAAAGAUACAAUAGAGUCAAAAAGAAGAGAGAGGUGCAGUUUUUUUGAAAAUUCUAAUUUUCCCAACACAUUCCUCAAUGGUUGCUUCCUUUGUGACAUAGUCUGUGGGGGGAUUAUACAUUACUUUGUCAUUUGGUUCCAGAAGUGGGUAAACUGUUUAAUAGCUCUCUGAAGAGUUAUAUUUUGUUGCUCACAACAUAAACACCUCCUAUGACUGCAAUUUUCUGGACUUCAAUUGCUAGUGAAAUGUCUUUUGGAAACGCUAAGAAAGUAUCAAGGGCACCGUUAUCUUUCUUUUUCUACCCAGGUACAUUAGUGUUUCAUACCUCAGUGGAUAAGAAGAGAAAUUAUGGAAGGCAGAAGAGGGAGAUCUGAAACAGAUCUCAGGUGAAAGACAGAGUUACAUAUCAGUACCGAGAAUGUAUAGUAGGAUGUUUCUUGUUCCAGAAAGAUGGUAUAAUGGAAUGUCAUCAUAUCACCCUUCCCAGAAUACUCCAGUCUUGAAAUUCCUGGGCACUGUGGUUCGUAUGAAUAAUUAUGAUGAUGCUAACGAAAAUAGUAAUAGUGGGUAGUACUGAUUUAAUGAUCUUUAAGUGAUGGAUACUAUAGUAAGAAAUGUAUGUAUAUUGUUUCAUUUAAUCCUCAUAAUAACCCAAGAGGCAAAUUCUAUUGUUACACUCAUUUUGUAAACGAAAAGACUGAUGCUUCAAGAGGGUUCAUAACUUGCAUGAGUAUCAAACUUAACACAUGACACAGGUAGCAUUUGAACUUGAGUCAGUUAGAAUCGCGUUCAUGCUCUCAAUCAUUACGCUGUGCUGCCUUCUUGAUGUUCAUAAAGUGUUCACAGAGGAUGUGCCUAUGACAUUCUGAAGGGGUCUCAUGGGUAUUUACACCACUGACGGUGAUGAUAUCCUCUUUUGUUGACACCUUCCUCUUUUUUUCUUUUACUUAGAAAUAGUGCUUUCCCUAAAAUCCAAUUGUGUUAGCUCUAAAGCACCAUGAGAACAUUUCUUUGCUUCUUCACAAUUUGUCAGUUUAUAAUAUUCCCUAAUUGACAAUCUUGAAUCCCUCUUUCUUUUGUAAAUAAAUCCCCUUUGCCUCAUCACAUGCCACAUGGAAUAUGCCCUGGGUCCAGUCAUACUGAUUGGCCCAGGAUGGGAGACAUGAUUCAGCUGGGCCAAUCAGCGUUCUUC
rnacentral:lncRNA from 1 species